GGUCAAGAUACUAAGGGUCCACGGUGGAUGCCCUGGCACUGGAGCCGAUGAAGGACGCGAUUACCUGCGAAAAGCCCUGACGAGCCGGAGAUACGCUUUGACUCAGGGAUGUCCGAAUGGGGAAACCCACCUGUUUACAGGUACUUCCG
rnacentral:ncRNA from 1 species